AAAAACCUUGCCCUCCUUACGGGGGAGACAGUCAUGAGACGUGAGUAUAAGACCUGAGUGUAAAGACCUUAGGGUGAAGCAAUUGGAGGGCAAGCUUUGGUGCCAGCAGCCGCGGUAACUCCAACUCCAAGAGUGUCUAUGGUGGAUGCUGCAGUUAAAGGGUCCGUAGUCGUGAAUGCAAUUAAAUGUCGUUGUUCAAUAGCGAUGAGUUUGCUAAUGUUUGCGGAACGGAUAGGGAGUGUAGUAUAGACUGGCGAAGAAUGAAAUCUCAAGACCCAGUUUGGACUAACGGAGGCGAAGGCGACACUCUUAGACGUAUCUUAGGAUCAAGGACGAAGGCAGGAGUAUCGAAAGUGAUUAGACACCGCUGUAGUUCCUGCAGUAAACUAUGCCGACAGCCUGUGUGUGAGAAUACGUGGGCGGGAGAAAUCUUAGCGUUCGGGCUCUGGGGAUAGUACGCUCGCAAGGGUGAAACUUAAAGCGAAAUUGACGGAAGGACACUACCAGGAGUGGAUUGUGCUGCUUAAUUUAACUCAACGCGGGAAAACUUACCAGGGUCAAGUCAUUCGUUGAUCGAAUACGUGAGAAUGGCAGGAGGGUGUAGGGG
rnacentral:rRNA from 1 species